rnacentral:ncRNA from 1 species
AUAAAUGUGUUUUGUUGUGUGCCAAUUGUCACCGCGAGAUUCAUGCUCAAGCGCAGCUUCCAGCGGAAACGCUGGUUGACAAAGCAGGCUAAGUCAGGGAAGCCCGUGUUUGAUCCGGGUAAUCCUGAGCUAGCACCCCGCCCAAGGCGGGGGGGCAAGUGCAGAGACUAUACACCUGCUGCCUAACACUGAAUAAAGUAAAGUUUCCGUUCAGUCACGGCAAAGAGAUAGUCCACUUCCGCUAGUAAUAGCGGG